AUCAUUGCAUUUUUUCCUUGAUGUUAAACCUGCACGUAUUUUAGAGCAUUAAUCAAUUCUUUUUAUUUCUGUUCCAGACUGUUUAGGCAAGCAGACAGGGGAACAAGAUCGAAACGCAACUUAGUUUAUCUGCAAAGAAGUAAGGUUGGUAUAUAGUAUGUGCCAUGAUAUGGUAGACUGUGACAUGAUAUACUUAGUGGUAUAUAGUCAAUGUUUGCUGCACUUGGUUGUUGAAGUUAAAACUUCAAACUGAUUCUUUUACUCUUUCUUCUGCUACCUCUAUUAAUUUUGUUUAUUGUAUAAUUAUGACAGGGAUGUCUGGACGAGACAAGGAUAAGGGUAAGGCUCAUGCUGUAGAUCAUGGGAAGCCGAAGAAAAAGAAGAAUGGAAGAAUAGAUGUUUCCUCAGACCCUACCAGACAGUGGGUUCGGCCGACGGGGGUUAUCUUCCGUAACAUUGAUGAACGAACUG
rnacentral:lncRNA from 1 species